UACGUAGGGGGCAAGCGUUGUCCGGAAUUAUUGGGCGUAAAGGGUGCGUAGGCGGUUCUUUAAGUCCGGGGUGAAAUCCUGGAGCUCAACUCCAGAACUGCCUUUGAUACUGAGGAUCUUGAGUUCGGGAGAGGUGAGUGGAACUGCGAGUGUAGAGGUGAAAUUCGUAGAUAUUCGCAAGAACACCAGUGGCGAAGGCGGCUCACUGGCCCGGUACUGACGCUGAGGUGCGAAAGCGUGGGGAGCAAACAGG
rnacentral:rRNA from 1 species